UAAGACGUAGGGGGCCAGCGUUGCUCGGAAUUACUGGGUGUAAAGGGUUCGUAGGCGGUGUGGCAAGUCGGGAGUGAAAUCUCUGGGCUCAACCCAGAGUCUGCUUCCGAAACUGCUGUGCUUGAGUGUGGGAGAGGCGCGUGGAAUUGCAGGUGUAGCGGUGAAAUGCGUAGAUAUCUGCAGGAACACCCGUGGCGAAAGCGGCGCGCUGGACCACUACUGACGCUGAGGAACGAAAGCUAGGGGAGCAAACAGGAUUAGAUACCCUGGUAGUCCUAGCCCUAAACGAUCAGGACUUGGGGUGCCACCCGUUCGGGUGUCGUCCCGGAGCUAACGCGUUAAGUCCUGCACCUGGGGAGUACGGUCGCAAGACUG
rnacentral:rRNA from 1 species